rnacentral:rRNA from 1 species
UACGUAGGGUGCGAGCGUUGUCCGGAUUUAUUGGGUUUAAAGGGUGCGUAGGCGGCCUAGUAAGUUCGUGUUAAAAGCCAGCCGCUUAACGGUUAGGAUGGGCAUGGAUACUGCUGGGCUUGAGUUACUUGGGGGCUGGCGGAAUUUGUGGUGUAGCGGUGAAAUGCAUAGAUACCACAAGGAACACCGAUCGCGUAGGCAGCCAGCCACGAGUUUACUGACGCUGAGGCACGAAAGCGUGGGGAGCAAACAGG